AGUGUAUUGAGCAACAUUGGAUUGAGUAUCUCAAAUUUCUCGGGCCGGGCGGUUUUGUAUAUUCUGAAACUUUUGGUUUGGCUGCAUUUCGCGAAAUACUUGCUUUCGGUAUGGGGAGCUGAGCAUUUUUUUCUGCUUGAGUUCAAUUAUGCGCCUUACAAUCCAGAGAAGCUGCGUUUUACAUAUACUACCAGGAGGCGAAAAUAACUAUUGGAGAGUAAACACUCUCCAUAACUACUACUAUUCACGCGCUCAAGAAUGAGUUUCCUAAAGGGCUUCCUCACAGGUCUAACCUUCACAACCGCCACCCUCACCCUCACCGUUCAUCUGCAUCUCGCAAACCGGCAACAGCAGCACCUCCUCCUGCGCGAGCAGAUAGAUUCCAUAAACGCCAUAGCAUUAUUGCCAACCUCCACUGCCGCUACCGACACCAGCAGCAGCAGAAGAGUUUACACAUCCCACACACGAAAUACGUCCGCCGACGACACCGAUGCCAUCGCAGCCGUCCUGGCGCGGAGGGGAUAUUACCCGCGCGAACGCCCGGGGAUUAUGGAUUUGGCGAAGGAGAGAUGGA
rnacentral:sRNA from 2 species